rnacentral:rRNA from 1 species
AUUGAACGCUGGCGGCAGGCCUAACACAUGCAAGUCGAGCGGAUGAGUGGAGCUUGCUCCAUGAUUCAGCGGCGGACGGGUGAGUAAUGCCUAGGAAUCUGCCUGGUAGUGGGGGACAACGUUUCGAAAGGAACGCUAAUACCGCAUACGUCCUACGGGGGAAAGUGGGGGAUCUUCGGACCUCACGCUAUCAGAUGAGCCUAGGUCGGAUUAGCUAGUUGGUGAGGUAAAGGCUCACCAAGGCGACGAUCCGUAACUGGUCUGAGAGGAUGAUCAGUCACACUGGAACUGAGACACGGUCCAGACUCCUACGGGAGGCAGCAGUGGGGAAUAUUGGACAAAGGGCGAAAGCCUGAUCCAGCCAUGCCGCGUGUGUGAAGAAGGUCUUCGGAUUGUAAAGCACUUUAAGUUGGGAGGAAGGGCAGUAAGUUAAUACCUUGCUGUUUUGACGUUACCAACAGAAUAAGCACCGGCUAACUUCGUG